UGGAAAUUUUUGUUGUUGUCAAUGUGGUGGCCUGUGUGCUUGCAAAUUAACUUCAAUUUUGUUGUUGUCAAUGUGGUGGCCUAUGUGCCUGCAAAUUAACUUCAAUUUUCUUGUCAAAGCUUGCAAAUUAAGUUUUAGAUUGAUGUUCUUGCUACUGUUGUGAUAGUUUCCAUUAAAUUCUGAUAUCAUUACAAUUUCAAAAUCUGAAAAUGCAGUUACAAAAUGCUUAGUUGACAUUCAAGUAGUUGACAAUAUCUUCAAAAGAAUGAUUCAAUGCUCGAACCCAAGGGUAUUUAAAGUAUCCUCAGGCCGUUUGAGUCUCUACAAGAGGGGCACAUGGUUUGGUGAUCUAGACAUGGAUGGGCCAUGAGCCCAAAAAUGUCACCCCAUUUUAACCAUUCUAACUAUCUGGUCCUUGUCCUGCAAAUUGCGUCACUUGUUGUCUCGACAGUUUUCUUCGUUUUUGCUAAUGUUGCAACUACAAUGUCUUGAAUUGCAGUCACGAGAUUAGGCAGUUGGCAUUUUAAUCUUUGUUGGAUAUAUAAAUCUUCAAGUGCUUUGAGUCUGUUUCAUGAAUCAUUUCUUCUCAAUCAAUGUUUCUCCAGGGAAGCAUUUAUUCUAGUUCGAACUGCGAUGGUCCCACAACUUCAGUCCUUGUGCACAGUAUACAACAAAAUGAGUAUAUGAAUCCGAAUGAAAUAUCUCCACGAUUGCAGUUUCCUUCUGAAGAAAGGAAGUGGGCGUUUGGGCUUUAGGAGGGAUUGCUAUCUUGAUGAACUAGCCCAGUAAUCUAGCCAUAAAAAAUCACCAGGUAAUUUGGUGCCACUUCAUGGCUCAGUUUCAUCAUUUGGCUUGAUGGUUGUACUGAAAAUGACCAAAGUGUACCUGAGCUUCUUUGGAAUGACUUUGUUCGUAAACAACUUGGAUGGUUCUUUUUCAGUGACUGAUGAUUUAUUGCCAAUCUUGCAAAAUAUAGAAAAUUAUCACUUGCACAUGUUUGGAUGUGUGGAAUCCCUGGGUUUUCCAAAGAAAAUAAUAUCCAAUGAUAAUUUCCUGUUUAUUGUAGAAAAUUGGAUAAGGAUCCUAGAAAAUGGGGCCGUGUUUGGGUAUCAAGUGGAAUUCUCGAAUUCAUUAGACAACAGUUACCUCAUUUCUUGUGCCCAGGAAUUCUGAUCAUGGAUAAGAGCGAUUAUUACUAUGUCAAGGUCAUGUAUCCAAAUAGCCCAAUUGUCUUGUCAGUGGAAAACAAUUUCUAUUUCCCCAUGGAUUCUGUGUAUCCAAACAUGCCUGAACACAUGUACAAGAUUUGAACCAUUCCUUUAGUGGGCCUUACCAUGGAUGGGCAUAGACUGAAAAUCACACCACAGACAACCCAACCCUUCCACUGGAGGAUUUUUCCCAACUGAUGGUCAGUGGUACUUUAUUUAUUUCUUCUAAUCAUCCAUUUUCUUUCCUCAAAGUCCUCCAAUUAAAUGGCAUAGAAUUGCAGGAGUUGUGUUAUUUUUUCAUCAUGGCCCAUCCAAGGUAGGGGGCACAGCCAGAUGUGUGGCUUCGAUUUAUCUUUCAUUUGUACAAGAAUAAAGUUGCAGAUAGCUUAAGAAAAUAAGUGCUUUACACUCUUUAAGUCUUUCCCUUAUUAAAGUAGCUUGUAAUUUCAUAGUGAAAAGUAAGCAAUACGAGUCUUGUCAUCUUUGUUGAAUGACAAUUUUUCAGGAAUUCCUUUUUGUGGAGUAAAUUUCAUAUUCUGGCUGCAUAUGACACUUGAUACACAAGCACGUAGAAAUGGUAUGCAUGGCAUUCAUUAACUCAAAUUAAAUAGACUAAAUUGUGGACUUUUGCAAAUAUCAGGUUAAUUGGACAAGACUAACCUCUGAUUGUUGACACUUGUUUGUUGAAAAAAGAUCAUUGGAUAUUUUUCAUUAUUAACUAUCCAAUAAAUAUCUACAAAUCUUUAGUUUGCGGUCCAUCUAAACUGUUAUACAUAAUUUGGAUGGUUUAAUUUGAAUUACUUGAAUGAAAUAUGUGUGGUGUCGAAGUAUAAUUUCUGAGUGCCUG